rnacentral:lncRNA from 1 species
AGAAACUGAUUCGAACAAAUUAACUGAAUAGCAAUAUUUUUUUCUUAUUUCACUGAAUAUUUUUAUUUCAUUACCUUCUUUUUUAAACAUGUGUACCUUAACUCUCAUUAAAAAGGCUUUCUUUAGGCUCGUCUUGUACAUGUAAUAUAAGCACAAACUGUGUGAUGAAGUCAGAAAGAGCUUUAUUGUCAAGUCUGCUUGCACACAGAAGGAAUAUGGUUAACACUUUACAAUAAUGUUCAUAUUAGUUAACUACUUUAGUUAACAUGAACUAAGAAUGAACACAACAUUUAUUAAUCUUAGCUAAUGUUAAUUUCAACAUCUACACAUGCAUUAUUAACAUGAACUAACAGUGAACAACUGUAUUUUCAUUAACUGACAUUAACAAAGAUUAAUAAAUACUGUAAUGUAUUAUUCAUUGUUUGCUCACGUUAGUUAAUACAUUAACUAUUAUUAACUAGCAGAACCUCAUUGUAAAGUGUUACCGGAAUUAGUUUUAGUGUCACAAGUGAUUGCUCAUGACCUUCUGAUACUGCUUUUAUUUCUCAUCAAACACAACUUUAAGCAAACAGUGUUAAAAGUCCUAUACAUUUUUAUUUGACCUAAAAUACCAUGCAACAGAUUCUAUAACUGUUGUCCCUCAAAGCCUCGAAAAGGCUCAAAUGGAUUUUUUUUUAAUCUGAUCAGGCUUCUUCUGGUUCAUGAUCUGUUCAGCCAGAGUCGUUUAGAGUCGUGCAUCUUCGGACGUGAUGCAUAUGGUUUAGUAUAAACGCCACCCACACAGCACCAGGACACCAUUUUUAGCUGCUCCCGCCUUUGCUUUGUUCUAAUCUCUCCACUAAAUGCUGUAUUAAACGAAUUAAUGCAUAAUGAAUACUAAUCCCUGCUGUGUUCAACUCAUGUAUUGUACUGUAAAAGACUGAUGAUCUGACGAGCUUCUUUCUGCAGUGUUGGAUGAUGGAUCGCAGUGUGAAUGUGACGUGUGAUGAGAUUCAGAUCAGAGACGGGUUUGAGUUCAGAGUUCCUGCUGACAGAUUCACUCUCUUCCAUCAGUCUGACUGUGAACCGCUCUGGUACUCACAGGAUGAUCGUCUGAUAGCAGAUCCAUCAGAUCCUCAGAAACUGAUUGCUCCUGUGGUUUCUGUCUCUUCUGAUCGUCUCGUCACGUCUCACUGUGUGAAUCAACUCCGUCACGAGAUCCGCUGCGAUGCUUCUGGAGUAAAUGUUUUUCUCUAUUCUCAUAUUU